rnacentral:misc_RNA from 1 species
GGUGGAUUAGGUAAAGGGUACCCAACAGGAUCAGUAUCCAUGCUCUUACUAGAUUAAUAUAUGUGUCGCAAAACACUGGUUGAUAGUGUGUGAAUGAAGAACAUAAUGUAAAUGUACAGUUUUCUUAUAGUGAGAAACCUGAAUUAAUGGAGGAGUUCUGCAUAUUUGAUUAUUAUUACGAUUUUAUCAUUCAUGUUUUCUUUUUUUUUUUUUACUAAUAUUUGUAAUUUUUUGUAACAAAAUGAGUCCAUACUUCUUAUAGAUAUAUUUAAAAAUUCAAGCACAGAAUUUAGGAUUUUUGAAAAAAAAAAAUAAAGGGUUAGUGACUUGACUUGUUUUUUUAUUACUCAGAAAGGGUUACUCUUGCCAAAGGUCAUUAUACCUGGUAGUUGUUUAUUAGUAUUUUUAAAUAUUGAAUAACAUUUUAGAUUACAUUUUUACAGGUUUUCUUUUAAUCAAUGUGCUACAUUUCUUGCAAUUACAGACUAUAAGUAAAAGAUAGUGUGAUAUCAAUGUGAUACAAAAAUCAACAUGAUUAUUAUUGAAGAUAUUAAGUAUUACGGUGUAUUGUUUCAACGAAAACAAGGGAGUAUUAGGUACAACAUAAAACAGAUACGUGAUGAUUCAACCUGAUCUCCCCUUUGUUUUGUUUUUUUUACAAGAUUCUUCAUAAUCUUUUUUUCCGUUUAUGUGAUUUUUCUAAGUUCCGUCCAGUUUGUUGGAUUUUGAAGAUAUUGUGUCAAUAUAUGUAAGUUUGUGAAUUACAUUGAAUGAAAAUCAUUUUAUCAUUAAAGCUGCGUUAAUAAAGUUUUACAAAAUC